rnacentral:rRNA from 1 species
UACGUAGGGCGCAAGCGUUACUCGGAAUUACUGGGCGUAAAGCGUGCGUAGGUGGUUUGUUAAGUCUGUUGUGAAAGCCCCGGGCUCAACCUGGGAAUGGCAAUGGAUACUGGCAGGCUAGAGUGCGGUAGAGGGUAGUGGAAUUCCCGGUGUAGCGGUGAAAUGCGUAGAGAUGUGGAGGAACACCAAUGGCGAAGGCAGCUUGCUGGGCCGACCCUGACGCUGAGGUACGAAAGCGUGGGGAGCGAACAGG